rfam:Triticum aestivum genome assembly, contig: Triticum_aestivum_CS42_TGACv1_scaffold_158364_2DL
CUUCUACUCCCUCCGUUCCAAAUUACUCAUCGCAAAAAUGGAUGUAUCUAGAACUAAAAUACAUCUAGAUACAUCCAUACCCGCGACACGUAAUUUGGAAUGGAGGGAAUACAUU